AUUGAACGCUGGCGGAAUGCUUUACACAUGCAAGUCGAGCGGCAGCACGGGGGCAACCCUGGUGGCGAGCGGCGAACGGGUGAGUAAUACAUCGGAACAUGCCCAGUCGUGGGGGAUAACACUUCGAAAGAAGUGCUAAUACCGCAUACGUCCUGAGGGAGAAAGCGGGGGAUCGCAAGACCUCGCGCGAUUGGAGUGGCCGAUGUCAGAUUAGCUAGUUGGUGGGGUAAAGGCCUACCAAGGCAACGAUCUGUAGCUGGUCUGAGAGGAUGAUCAGCCACACUGGGACUGAGACACGGCCCAGACUCCUACGGGAGGCAGCAGUGGGGAAUUUUGGACAAUGGGGGCAACCCUGAUCCAGCCAUUCCGCGUGAGUGAAGAAGGCCUUCGGGCUGUAAAGCUCUUUCGGCAGGAACGAAACGGCGAGCUCUAACAUAGCUUGCUAAUGACGGUACCUGAAGAAGAAGCACCGGCUAACUACGUG
rnacentral:rRNA from 1 species